rnacentral:lncRNA from 1 species
UAAAUGCAACAAACCAUAUUAUUGAUCCAGAUAUUCAUGUUUCAUACAACAAAUUUCCUUGAAUAUUGCAACCAAUUCAUGUACCAAUGUGCGAGGUAUAAUCUAGUUUCUUGAAACGGCGCACCUACUUUCUGAUAAAAGAUUAAAGCAAGUGAGAUAUAUGGGGCACAAAUAUUUUAGUGGUAGACAUGGUCCAUCCUCUUACUCUGGUGGUUGGCUGUCGGUGCCUCUUCCCGCUUUGUCGCCGGUUCGCCGCCGGAGGAAGCACAAUAUGCAGCAUAGACAUUGAUCUGUCAUGGUCACUACCUUUCUCUCCCUUCUCUCGUUUGCCUGGUCGGUGAUGCUCGCCCCCUCUCUCUCUCUCUCUCUUUGCUCACCACCAAUCAUGUAUCCGACACCGGUAGAUUGACCCAGUGGAAUCAUGCACGAGACAACCGUGGAUAAGAGCAAGAACCUCGUUCGCUUGAACCAUAGCAGACGAGGAGGAUUUGGGGAUCACUUGGUUAUCCUUUUGUUGCUUGAUGGAAUCUGUUUUGUUGAACUUGCAGCAGCUUAUUCAAUACAGAGCAAAUGAAAUUACGCCUACAAGUAGCAAAGGUCAUUUAUGAUCACACUACCCAAAUAAAUAGAUAAUAAAUUUUGCCACCACAUGCUUGAGGAGCUUCUUCUUUUGCUUGCUUAAGCCUUGCAAACUUACAGUAAUAUGAUUGGAGACUUCAAGUGAGUGGCAAGAGAUAGCAAAUAAAUUAUAGAAUAAUGUCAAAUCUUGGCAUAGCUCAUGUGAGGUUUGUGAUUAACUGAAACACUUCAAGCAUGUAUACCUCAAAAAAUUUAGUACAAUGGCAAGGUAGAGACAUGUUGACACUUGAUGCAUGAUUCAUCAUAAUAUUGCAAUGAGUUCAGAACACACGAGAUAAAACUACAUGUGAGUUCACAUCUCACAUAAGUGUAAAUUGUAGCCUCCUCUUUGGAGUCGUCUUCUUUGCUAAAGCUGCAGUGCGUAUCCUCUCUAGACUAGUUCUGGUUUGUGAUGAAAUACUUCUCCGAGAAAGAAAGCAAGGAGGAUGCACAUAUACAUGCUAUCAAAUUUAUAUAAGUAGUUUGUUUCUCAUUUUUUUACAUUGUCGAACAUGUAACUAUUUGUUGUUUACCUUCUAGCGAAUAUGCCUGGAUUGUCGUGUAGUAUUUGUUCUCUACCUAGCUUUUGUGGGCUGCUAGAUUCACCUAUCAUAGCUUUUGUAUUGCUCUUUAUAGGUUUCCUAUUCUUGAAAUUAAAGAAAACAAGGUUUAUUUUUUGGCAUGAGGUGAUAAUUUAAGCUUUGAAUGAAAAAAAUGACAAUUGCCUUCUCUUGGUUCUAAGUCAGCACUUGUAACUAGCUUGCCUAUGACCCUUUGUGCCACAUUUCUUGCAAGUCACUAGGCCUCUAAUCAUUUUCUUCACCUUGCAUUUGUGGGAGUAGUGCUACCAUUCUUGUAACCUUUCUUCAUGUGGCCACCUUCAAGGCAAUCCUUUAAUCCUCAAUUUUUCUUUAUCUUCUUUUAUUUCUUCUCUUAAGUAUUGUCGCCACAACAAAUGGAAGCUCCACCCGCGACCACUAUGAUUUUUCUCUCCCAUAAGAGCCUUGAAAUUAUCCACAGAGUAGUACUAAUGCACAAAACUGUUCAAGGCAUUUUUGUGAUGUCACAAUUUCCAAGGCAUAUUGACGUUGUUUACCACCGUGCUUUCAUUCAAGACAAUUACAAGUCUUCUGAUUAGCUUUGCAAUAUGCAUUUUAAAAUUCUUUAUAUUGUCUGAAACCUCUACACUCCAAUCAAUAGAGUUCACAACUUUCAAGUGCGUAAACCUCUAGUAUUUCCCUCAACUGAACCAUAAUACUUGGUAGUAUCCGUCUAGAUGGUAGUCUUUCUCAAAUCCUUCUCCUCUUCCUCCACAAACCCUUGAUAAUCUCUCUAAGAUUGUGAGCUAGUUCAGCAACAUGUAAGUCCUCAAAGUCUCUGCUCAAGUUGUAGAAUACUCUCGCUAUAUUAUUAGUGAUGUAGUCACACUUGAUGCCCGGAAUGAAGACAUACCUUAUCGAUUUGAGAGUGAUAUCGACUUAAUCAAAGUCAUACCUCAUUUGAUUCUCCAAUACUUGUGCCCAUAAGUUACGUGAACACGUCUUUCAUAUAAGCCAUUGCGGUGGAAAACGUCCUUCUGAAACCGCUGGACCUCUUUGCAAAAUUAUUCAUAAGGUGAAAAACAUUCCCCUUGUUCAACAUUAUAAAAUAUAUUCUUCAUUGCAACAUUUUUAAGUUGAUUCAUAAACCAAGUUCGAUUGUCUUCAGUAUCAGAAGCUAUGAACCAUAGGCAAGUGGAUACAUCCAAUUGUGGCCAUCAAUUAGCCUCAGCUACAAAAAAUCCAACUCUACUUGCAAAGGCUUAGAGAAUGCAGUGAAGUAUUUCCCAAUGCUGAAUAAAGGGAAUGUUUUCCCAUAUUAUGGAGAAUUUUGUGAAAUGGUUCCAUGUGUUUGGAAGGGUGUAUCUUGUGGCAAGGGCUUAUAUGGGAGAGGUGUUCACAGAACAUAUGGAAGCAAUUAUUUGAUAAUAAAAUGGGGUAUGGCUUUUGUUAAGUUAGUGCAUACUCUCAAGUGGGCGAGGUGUGUCUUCAAUCCAGACAUUAAGUGUGAGCUCAUCUCUAGUAACAUAGGAGGGGUUUUCAACAACUGGUUCAGAGAUAUUAUGGACUUAUUGCUGAACUAGCCGACAAGAUUAGAGGGAUGAUCAUGGGUCUCUAGAGGACAAUGAGAAGGCUUGGAGGAAGACUGCCAUUUGGACCGAUCCUACUUAUGGGGGAAGAGGGAAAAUACUAGAGGUUUGGGGCACUUGAAAGUUGUGAAAUCUGUUAACUGGAGUGUAGAGAUUUGAUACAAUAGCAAAACUUAUUGAAAGGCAUAUUGGGAAGCUCAAUCAGAAGACGUGUAGUUUUUCCUUGAAGGGCAGCACACAUACAAGCGAUGUCAACAUGUCUUGCCUUUGUGUCAUCAUAAAAGGGAGUAGAUCUUGAACAAUUUAUGCAUAUGUGUACUAUGUGGGCAGAUUCAAGGAUGUUAUAUGGGACAGAGAUUGAGCCAAUGACAGAGAAAUCACGGUGGCCACGAGUGGAGCUGUCAUUUGAUGUGGUGCCACCAUUUCAAAACAGAAAUAAAGAACGACAAAAAAUGGAGGAUUCAAAGGAUGUGUUAAGGAGGUCACAAGGUGUCAAUGAUGAUAGCACUGGCCCCACAAAUGCCAAGGGGAAGAAAAUGAUUAGAUGCCUAGUGAUUUGCAAGAAAUUUGGUUAAAAGUAUCAUAGGCAAGCUAGUUACAAGUGUCCACUUAAUUGAAGCCAAAAAAGACAAUUGGCGUUCUUUCAUUCAAAGCUUGAAUUAUCACCUCAUGACAAAAGUUUAUUGUUUAAUUCAAGAAAGAGGAAGCCUAAAAGGAACAAUACAUAAGGUAUGCAAGGUGAAUCGAACACCCCACAAAGGCCAACUAGAGAACAGGUACUAUGGGACAGUUAUGCCAUGCACUAGAAGGCAAUCAACGAAUAGUUCUAUGUUUAGCAAUGUAAAAAAAAACAAUUUUCUUAUAUAUAAAUGCCAUAACAUAUAUGUACAACUGCCUUGCUUUAUUGCUAACAGAGGGUAUUUAUUCACAAACCAGCACAACUACUCCAGAGAGGAUACUAGCUGCAGCUCUAGCAAAGAAGAUGGCUACAAAGAGGAAGCUACAAAUUGGAUUAAAAAAUCUCCAUUAAAUUUACUAUUCAAGCUGUGCAUCCACAUGGGCUGCUCUUUUAAGCGUUAUCUUCAGUUGCCUAUAAAAAUGCAAAAGUACAUCACCUAUUGGUAUAUUAUUUACCAAUAUUAUUUGGUAUCACGGUUACAUGAAAUCCAUGAAAUUGAAUUGGGAUAUAUGAGAUGGCCUCCACGCUCACUAUACAUAUUAUAAAUUAGAAAGUAGUAUCAAAGCCUAAGUAUACUAAAACUCCAUGAUCCAUAGAAACCAUGGAUCGACAAUAUUUGUGAGACAACGCUAAGAAAUCAUAUGUGUUUUCGAAUGCAGAUAAACAUCCAACUGAUUUUGCAACAUGCUAGAAAAAAAAACAAUUUUAAUUGAAGAAUUCCACCAUACCUCCUUGCUUUCUCCUUCCACAAACAUAAGACUUCCAAUGCAUUGGCAUGUACGUCCUGCAUGGAUAUAACACCUGUUGAUUUGUUAAAUCUGUAAAAGCUAUUGAACUUCAUUCUUGUGCACAAUUAAACGCAAUGUCUAACAAAUGUUGACUUCCACCUGCCAAAACAAUGGUUUAAACUGUAGUAAACAUACAAUCUGUCAUAUGUACCUCAGUACCCGAGUCUCUACAUGAAUGUAUAGCUUACUGUGUUGAAACUCUACAAAGAUAGACUAGUGUAAUUUGAUAGAGGCUCUUUGUCCGAAUUGCAUUUGCUAGCACCAAAAGAUGAGAGAUGGUCGUGAACUAAAUAAAUAUGAAAGUGGUUAAUUGAAAAUACCACACUACUAUGGCACCAAUUCUUUGAAACCGUGAUAUCCGUAUAAAAUGGCAUUAGGUGCAUCUUAGCUAAUAAUAGUACAUACGUUGAGUCUGUAAAAAUGAAUAAGAAGUUUUGAAGAUGUAUGUAAGGUUUGGUAACCGCAACCCAUAUUUAUAUUUUGAGGGAUGUGCAAAACUUGAAAAAAGAAAAUGGAAGACACUAUUAUAGAAGUACAUAGUGUCCAUUGCUAACCUCCAACUUUUGUCAGAUCCGAAUCAAAUCACCACUACAAUGACUUCUAAGCAUUUUCAAUUUGAAACCGUACACCAAAAUAUUUCAGCUAGUACAAUGGAGAAUUUCCAAUUCCUAGUAGAUAAAUGUUCAGGUUGUAGUAUUUUCCACACAAUCAUUUAAGAAUCUUCUUAUGCUCAGGCAUAGAUUGAUAGCGCAUAAUGUGCAUAUUCUCAUCUCACACACAUAGAUCACCUUCUGUGCAGAGCUAAGUCUACUAAUAUAUCAUCUCGUUGGCUCCCCGNNNNNNNNNNNNNNNNNNNNNNNNNNNNNNNNNNNNNNNNNNNNNNNNNNNNNNNNNNNNNNNNNNNNNNNNNNNNNNNNNNNNNNNNNNNNNNNNNNNNNNNNNNNNNNNNNNNNNNNNNNNNNNNNNNNNNNNNNNNNNNNNNNNNNNNNNNNNNNNNNNNNNNNNNNNNNNNNNNNNNNNNNNNNNNNNNNNNNNNNNNNNNNNNNNNNNNNNNNNNNNNNNNNNNNNNNNNCGUCGCCGCCAGCCCCUUCCCCCUUCGGUUGCCCUUCUCCUCCUCCCCCCUCCCUUCCCAGGACUGUCCGGGUCCAAGUGGGCUCGGCCGGGCAAUCGGUGCCCGACAAGUCCUUGUCGCUGCGUCCGGUCGGCCCCGCUGAGGCGGUCGAGGCUGUCCCCUCCCUCCGAUCGCAUUGUGGUCGCUCCCGUGGCCGUUGUUCCCUUUCCAUCUCCAGGUCUCGUGUUGGCAGCUCUAGUGAGGCGGCGAGGGUUGCCCAGUAAUCGUGGUGGCACACGCUGGUGGGCAGAUGUUGGGGUGAUGCAUGUCGAAAUGCCUGGGGUGGUGGUGGUGGUGGUCGUGGAUAGGGAGAAAUCCCUGUUGGCUUGUCCGGCACCGACACGGUGACGCCUGCAGCCGCCAUUGGUCCUUCCUGAGGAGCGUCGGGUGUAUCCCUUCCCCACCAACCCCCGUGUACCGGGAGAAACCCUAGAACUUGUUCGGGCAACAACGGCGACGCCGUCUCAUCCCUUCUUGACGGUGUUGCUUGGUGCACAGCGCUUCGGGGUGCUGGGAGCGUGGUGGUACUUCUUCGAAGGGUGCAACGGUUGCCGGGCUUCCUUUCUCCGCUGAUCUGCCGGUGUCGACAUUUAUUUCUCUUCUUUUUUCUCCUUGUCUUUCCUUUUGGGCUUUGUUGUGCUAUGGCCCCAGCAAACUGGAUGUAUCGGUCGUCUACUUUAUAUAUAAAGCAGGGAAAACCUUUUAUUGCAUAUAUCAUCUCGUUCCAUCGUUGCCGCAUCGUAUAUGAGUUUGACAACAUGUCAGGUACUACAGAAGGAAUCUAAAAUGGACAUUAGCGAGAAGAAAUGUGGCAUGCAUUAUAUUGGUUUAUGAAAAUAGGUGAUAGAAGAGCCUAUUGUCAUUUUAGCACAGAAAAUACCUCUAGAAACCGAGUCAAGGUUCCUUUAUAUCCUGUUUAGUGCAAAUUAACACGGGCUUACUUUUUAUACCAAAGUGGGGAAAAACGCAUGGCUCGGCUACUCGGAGUUUGCAUUCGUAGAAAAGGCAGAACAAACAAUUUACCGUGUAGCAUAUAUACAUAAGUGACAGCUCUUGCAGACCUUGCCUAUAAUAAAUUAGCAAAAUAAAGAACGAAAAUACCAAGGUGAACAUGGUUCCACGGGCACCCAAGUAAACAGUAAAUAAAAAAUUACUAGAAUUUUUUAAAAAAUCUGAAAUUUUGAGGUAUCAAACUUGGUCGACCCGACCAUACUCAUGUGUGAAGUUCGGUGCAGGAGUGACACCCGGGGUAUUUCUUAGUGAAGAAAAUAUAAUCCGACCAUACUAUUCCCGUCAAACAGUGCUUUUGAAUAUAACUUUCAUCUGUCAUUUUUGCCCAAAAUACCAUGGAUGUCAUUUCUUUGUGAAACUUCAUACGCGAGUAUACAAUCGACCAUGUAUAUUACAGAAAAAGGUCCAAUUUUUUCUCUUUUCCUAGUUUUUUUGGAUUUACUAUUUAUAAGGGGUGCACGUGGAACCAUGUUUCACAAAUCCGCGUCUAAUUACACAAACCUUAAAAAACAGUAGGUUCAACAAGGAAAUAGUUUGCUAAAAAAACAACUGUAAUUUUCAAGGAAAAUAGGAUCUUUAGGACACCAUUACCGAAGACAAAACAAAAUUCACGGUAAAGCACAUACUUUUAGGUCCAUUAGAGAAACAAAAUACCCGUACGUGUUCCUUUUCUUCCAACAACGUUCGUGUUUUGCAGUGCAUAUAUCUGAAACCACUUUCUUGGCAAACAAACAAUUCACCAUACACUUAAGAGUGCCUUGCCUAAUGCCUGCAGUCGAUAUCAGAAGGAAAUAAGGAGGUAGAGGAGGAACGACUGGACCUGCAGCAUGCAGACCAUGCGCAUCGUGCAUGUCUGGCCAAGUUGCUGAACAUUACCUUUCUUGAGAUUCAUAUACUCAUCGUCCUCCUCUGUUGCCUGCCUCAUCUACCAUGGCGCCGAUUACCGCCGCUCCCUCCUUCUCCUCCCCGUCCUCGAACCUAUCAAGUAAACGUACCGGAGGUGCUGGACACCGAGAGAAUGAAAGAAGAGGCGGGGACUGCGGCGACGCGGGGGACGGGGAGAGG